GACGAACGCUGGCGGCGUGCCUAAUACAUGCAAGUAGAACGCUGAAGAGAGGAGCUUGCUCUUCUUGGAUGAGUUGCGAACGGGUGAGUAACGCGUAGGUAACCUGCCUUGUAGCGGGGGAUAACUAUUGGAAACGAUAGCUAAUACCGCAUAACAAUGGAUGACACAUGUCAUUUAUUUGAAAGGGGCAAUUGCUCCACUACAAGAUGGACCUGCGUUGUAUUAGCUAGUAGGUGAGGUAAUGGCUCACCUAGGCGACGAUACAUAGCCGACCUGAGAGGGUGAUCGGCCACACUGGGACUGAGACACGGCCCAGACUCCUACGGGAGGCAGCAGUAGGGAAUCUUCGGCAAUGGGGGCAACCCUGACCGAGCAACGCCGCGUGAGUGUAGAAGGUUUUCGGAUCGUAAAGCUCUGUUGUAAGUCAAGAACGGGUGUGAGAGUGGAAAGUUCACACUGUGACGGUAGCUUACCAGAAAGGGACGGCUAACUACGUG
rnacentral:rRNA from 1 species